AAAGCUAUUGUAGAAGGAAGAAGAGACUCUACUGGCUGUGUCGGAUCAGCAGCAGCUGUUGGAUAUUCCUGUCUUCCUGUCUACAGUGGCGGGUUGAAGAUCCAGACCAAUAGACAGGAGAGAUGGAGAGGUCCAAGAAGAGGCCCAACAGAAGAGCUUACCUCCCCCGCAGCAGUACCCUUGGCCAAGGCUAGGAGCUCCACACCAACACCCACUGUAAACCCUACCGCAUUUUCAACUCAAAUACUUCUAGUAAGUGGAACUCAAAGUUGAUGAAAAGUAAUUAUUACUUAAAAUGUUUAUGUGGAUCUGACUCAAGCUCACAUCAACUCUAUUUUUUAAAGUUAUGAUAACAUGGAAAUGGAAAGGAAAUGUUUUACCCAGCAUGCUCUACUGCAGGUAUAUUUUCGGGGAAUUGUUUAAUAUCUGUGUUUUUGCAUGUACAUUGAAUGAUUGAUUCAUCUUAUGCUACACAAAGAUAAAUAACAUACAUUUUUGUAAACUAACUUUUUUGCACCCGUUACUGAAAUGGUUGUUCCAGUUUAAAUGGCUUAGGUCGUCUCCUCAAACAGUUCCUAACCCUGGCAGUCAUUAUGAAUGCAGGUUGCGGGUGAAUAACAAUGCUAACUGUUUGAUAGCAAAGCUCAGAAUUCCAAUAGGAAUGGCACCUCACUUUGCCAGCCAGUAUAAUGUGACUUGCAGGUGGGGUUGAAAAGUCUGGUAAAUGUCCCAGGUAUUUCAGAAAUCCUGGUUGGCUGAUUCCUGAACAUUUGUGGAAAGUUAGCAGAAUUAUGCAACCCUACUUGUAGGCCUGAUUUGGCUUGUAAACCAUAAGUUUCAUAUUAGGGUGAUGAUAGGCCUCAAAAUAAUGCCUUAUAAGCUAUGUAAAUGUAUUGUCAUAAAGAGUUUAAUGACAACAUUGAAAAGGAACUGAAAAUGAAUGAAUUCAACAACCAUGUCUCUGUCACUAACAAAUACAGUCAUCGGGGGUAACCCUACAAUUCACUCGAAAAGACAAGUCACACUGGGAAAUUAUAUUGGAGGCUUAACUUAGCUAGGGCGUUUCUCAAAAUGUUCAAUCUGAUACAACUCAAAUCUGGACCCCUACAGCAAGGCUGUUGAACUCAUUCCAUGGG
rnacentral:lncRNA from 1 species